rnacentral:rRNA from 1 species
UGGGGAAUAUUGCACAAUGGGCGCAAGCCUGAUGCAGCCAUGCCGCGUGUAUGCAGAAGGCCUUCGGGUUGUAAAGUACUUUCAGCGGGGAGGAAGGGAGUAAAGUUAAUACCUUUGCUCAUUGACGUUACCCGCAGAAGAAGCACCGGCUAACUCCGUGCCAGCAGCCGCGGUAAUACGGAGGGUGCAAGCGUUAAUCGGAAUUACUGGGCGUAAAGCGCACGCAGGCGGUUUGUUAAGUCAGAUGUGAAAUCCCCGGGCUCAACCUGGGAACUGCAUCUGAUACUGGCAAGCUUGAGUCUCGUAGAGGGGGGUAGAAUUCCAGGUGUAGCGGUGAAAUGCGUAGAGAUCUGGAGGAAUACCGGUGGCGAAGGCGGCCCCCUGGACAAAGACUGACGCUCAGGUGCGAAAGCGUGGGGAGCAAACAGG